CAACGGCCUGUCGGUCCGCCCGAGCCAGGGCACCUAUGACUUCCGUGAUGGCGACGGCAUUGUUCCACUUCUGCUGAGACCGCUGGGAAGACCGGGAGGCUGCAGCUCCACUGCAGCAGC
rnacentral:SRP_RNA from 1 species